GCCCGGGUGGUGGAAUUGGUAGACACGCUAGUUUCAGGUACUAGAACCUUCACGGGUGUAGGAGUUCAAGUCUCCUUCCGGGCA
rnacentral:tRNA from 1 species